UACAGAGGUCUCAAGCGUUGUUCGGAUUCAUUGGGCGUAAAGGGUGCGUAGGCGGCGCGGUAAGUCGGGUGUGAAAUCUCGGAGCUUAACUCCGAAACUGCAUUCGAUACUGCCGUGCUUGAGGACUGGAGAGGAGACUGGAAUUUACGGUGUAGCGGUGAAAUGCGUAGAUAUCACUUGGAACGCCAAAGGUGAAAACAAUCUGCUGGGGAUCUGCUGACGCUGAGACACGAAAGCCAGGGGAGCGAACGGG
rnacentral:rRNA from 1 species